UACAGAGGGGGCAAGCGUUGUUCGGAAUUACUGGGCGUAAAGGGCGCGUAGGCGGCCUUCUAAGUCAUGCGUGAAAUCCCCGGGCUCAACUCGGGAACUGCGUCUGAUACUGGAGGGCUUGAAUCCGGGAGAGGGAUGUGGAAUUCCAGGUGUAGCGGUGAAAUGCGUAGAUAUCUGGAGGAACACCGGUGGCGAAGGCGGCAUCCUGGACCGGCAUUGACGCUGAGGCGCGAAAGCCAGGGGAGCAAACGGG
rnacentral:rRNA from 1 species